rnacentral:rRNA from 1 species
GACGAACGCUGGCGGCGUGCUUAACACAUGCAAGUCGAACGGAAAGGCCCUGCUUUUGUGGGGUGCUCGAGUGGCGAACGGGUGAGUAACACGUGAGUAACCUGCCCUUGACUUUGGGAUAGCUUCAGGAAACUGGGGCUAAUACCGGAUAGGAGCUCCUGCUGCAUGGUGGGGGUUGGAAAGUUUCGGCGGUUGGGGAUGGACUCGCGGCUUAUCAGCUUGUUGGUGGGGUAGUGGCUUACCAAGGCUUUGACGGGUAGCCGGCCUGAGAGGGUGACCGGCCACAUUGGGACUGAGAUACGGCCCAGACUCCUACGGGAGGCAGCAGUGGGGAAUAUUGCACAAUGGGCGGAAGCCUGAUGCAGCAACGCCGCGUGCGGGAUGACGGCCUUCGGGUUGUAAACCGCUUUCGCCUGUGACGAAGCGUGAGUGACGGUAAUGGGUAAAGAAGCACCGGCUAACUACGUGCCAGCAGCCGCGGUGAUACGUAGGGUGCGAGCGUUGUCCGGAUUUAUUGGGCGUAAAGGGCUCGUAGGUGGUUGAUCGCGUCGGAAGUGUAAUCUUGGGGCUUAACCCUGAGCGUGCUUUCGAUACGGGUUGACUUGAGGAAGGUAGGGGAGAAUGGAAUUCCUGGUGGAGCGGUGGAAUGCGCAGAUAUCAGGAGGAACACCAGUGGCGAAGGCGGUUCUCUGGGCCUUUCCUGACGCUGAGGAGCGAAAGCGUGGGGAGCGAACAGGCUUAGAUACCCUGGUAGUCCACGCUGUAAACGGUGGGUACUAGGUGUGGGGUCCACUCCACGGGUUCCGUGCCGUAGCUAACGCUUUAAGUACCCCGCCUGGGGAGUACGGCCGCAAGGCUAAAACUCAAAGGAAUUGACGGGGCCCCGCACAAGCGGCGGAGCAUGCGGAUUAAUUCGAUGCAACGCGUAGAACCUUACCUGGGUUUGACAUGGAUCGGGAGCGCUCAGAGAUGGGUGUGCCUCUUUUGGGGUCGGUUCACAGGUGGUGCAUGGCUGUCGUCAGCUCGUGUCGUGAGAUGUUGGGUUAAGUCCCGCAACGAGCGCAACCCUUGUUCACUGUUGCCAGCACGUUAUGGUGGGGACUCAGUGGAGACCGCCGGGGUCAACUCGGAGGAAGGUGGGGAUGACGUCAAGUCAUCAGGCCCCUUAUGUCCAGGGCUUCACGCAUGCUACAAUGGCUGGUACAGAGAGUGGCGAGCCUGUGAGGGUGAGCGAAUCUCGGAAAGCCGGUCUCAGUUCGGAUUGGGGUCUGCAACUCGACCUCAUGAAGUCGGAGUCGCUAGUAAUCGCAGAUCAGCAACGCUGCGGUGAAUACGUUCCCGGG